rnacentral:tRNA from 1 species
GGAGAGGUGCUGGAGUGGUCGAUCAGGGUCGCCUGCUAAGCGACUGUCUCGAUUAUGUCGGGACCGUGGGUUCGAAUCCCACCCUCUCCGCCA